rnacentral:rRNA from 1 species
UACGUAGGGGGGCCAGCGUUGUCCGGAAUCAUUGGGCGUAAAGCGCGUGUAGGCGGCCCGGUAAGUCCGCUGUGAAAGUCGGGGGCUCAACCCUCGGAAGCCGGUGGAUACUGUCGGGCUGGAGUACGGAAGAGGCGAGUGGAAUUCCUGGUGUAGCGGUGAAAUGCGCAGAUAUCAGGAAGAACACCCGUGGCUAAGGCGGCUCUCUAGUACGGUACUGACGCUGAGACGCGAAAGCGUGGGGAGCGAACAGG